rnacentral:rRNA from 1 species
AUGCUAACCUGCAAGUCGAAGCCCUCUUCGGAUGCAGUGGCGCACGGGUGCGUAACGCGUGGGAACCUGCCCUUAGGUUCGGAAUAGCUCGGGGAAACCCGGAUUAAUACCGGAUAAUGUCUUCGGACCAAAGAUUUAUCGCCUUUGGAUGGGCCCGCGUUGGAUUAGCUUGUUGGUGGGGUAAUGGCCUACCAAGGCGACGAUCCAUAGCUGGUCUGAGAGGAUGAUCAGCCACACUGGGACUGAGACACGGCCCAGACUCCUACGGGAGGCAGCAGUGGGGAAUAUUGGACAAUGGGCGAAAGCCUGAUCCAGCAAUGCCGCGUGAGUGAUGAAGGCCUUAGGGUUGUAAAGCUCUUUUACCCGGGAUGAUAAUGACAGUACCGGGAGAAUAAGCUCCGGCUAACUCCGUGCCAGCAGCCGCGGUAAUACGGAGGGAGCUAGCGUUGUUCGGAAUUACUGGGCGUAAAGCGCACGUAGGCGGCUCAGCAAGUCAGGGGUGAAAUCCCGGGGCUCAACCCCGGAACUGCCCUUGAAACUGCUAGGCUAGAAUCCUGGAGAGGCGAGUGGAAUUCCGAGUGUAGAGGUGAAAUUCGUAGAUAUUCGGAAGAACACCAGUGGCGAAGGCGACUCGCUGGACAGGUAUUGACGCUGAGGUGCGAAAGCGUGGGGAGCAAACGGGAUAGAUACCCUGGUAGUCCACGCCCUAAACGAAGAAAACUAACUGUCCGGGCACAUGGUGGUUGGGUGGCGCAACUAACGCAUUUAGUUAACCCCCUGGGGAGUACGGCCCCAGAUUAAACUCCAAAGGAUUUGCCGGGGCCCUGCCCAACCGUGAAAAUGGUGGUUAUAUUCAAACCAUCCCCGAACCCUUACAC